rnacentral:rRNA from 1 species
GACGAACGCUGGCGGCGUGCUUAACACAUGCAAGUCGAACGGUAAGGCUCCAGCUUGCUGGGGUACACGAGUGGCGAACGGGUGAGUAACACGUGGGUGACCUGCCCUGCACUUCGGGAUAAGCCUGGGAAACUGGGUCUAAUACCGGAUAGGACCGCACCGUGGGGGUGUGGUGGAAAGUUUUUUCGGUGUGGGAUGGGCCCGCGGCCUAUCAGCUUGUUGGUGGGGUAAUGGCCUACCAAGGCGGCGACGGGUAGCCGGCCUGAGAGGGUGGACGGCCACAUUGGGACUGAGACACGGCCCAGACUCCUACGGGAGGCAGCAGUGGGGAAUAUUGCACAAUGGGCGGAAGCCUGAUGCAGCGACGCCGCGUGGGGGAUGACGGCCUUCGGGUUGUAAACUCCUUUCACCAUCGACGAAGGGUUUCUGACGGUAGAUGGAGAAGAAGCACCGGCUAACUACGUGCCAGCAGCCGCGGUAAUACGUAGGGUGCGAGCGUUGUCCGGAAUUACUGGGCGUAAAGAGCUCGUAGGUGGUUUGUCGCGUCGUCUGUGAAAUUCCGGGGCUUAACUCCGGGCGUGCAGGCGAUACGGGCAUAACUUGAGUACUGUAGGGGAGACUGGAAUUCCUGGUGUAGCGGUGAAAUGCGCAGAUAUCAGGAGGAACACCGGUGGCGAAGGCGGGUCUCUGGGCAGUAACUGACGCUGAGGAGCGAAAGCAUGGGGAGCGAACAGGAUUAGAUACCCUGGUAGUCCAUGCCGUAAACGGUGGGCGCUAGGUGUGGGUUUCCUUCCACGGGAUCCGUGCCGUAGCUAACGCAUUAAGCGCCCCGCCUGGGGAGUACGGCCGCAAGGCUAAAACUCAAAGGAAUUGACGGGGGCCCGCACAAGCGGCGGAGCAUGUGGAUUAAUUCGAUGCAACGCGAAGAACCUUACCUGGGCUUGACAUAUACAGGAUCGCGCCAGAGAUGGUGUUUCCCUUGUGGCUUGUAUACAGGUGGUGCAUGGUUGUCGUCAGCUCGUGUCGUGAGAUGUUGGGUUAAGUCCCGCAACGAGCGCAACCCUUGUCUUAUGUUGCCAGCACGUUGUGGUGGGGACUCGUAAGAAACUGCCGGGGUUAGCUCGGAGGAAGGUGGGGAUGACGUCAAAUCAUCAUGCCCCUUAUGUCCAGGGCUUCACACAUGCUACAAUGGUCGGUACAGUGGGUUGCCAGUCCGUGAGGGCGAGCUAAUCCCGCAAAGCCGGUCUCAGUUCGGAUCGGGGUCUGCAACUCGACCCCGUGAAGUCGGAGUCGCUAGUAAUCGCAGAUCAGCAACGCUGCGGUGAAUACGUUCCCGGGCCU